rnacentral:lncRNA from 1 species
CCCACCCCCGUCUCUGUGGUUGUGGCGCUGAGCUCCGGCUCUGCAGAGCGCAAUUUCCCCACCCCCCCAAAGCUGUGGGGACCCCCCCAGAGGGGCGGGGUACAGCGAGUGCCAGUGGGUGCGAGAGCUGUGGGUGCCAACUGCCAGGUUCGAGGUUGAGGAGCCACAGCCUCAGGUGUGGGAGAAACUGCUGCUGAAACCCCACAGGUCCAAGGCUGCCAUGGCCCAGACACCGUGGGGACAGUGAGGGCUCCCAUGUCCCUGUGCUGGGGACACUGAGGCCUCCCGUGCUGGAAAGAGUCCGUGUGCCUUCCCUGUGGCACCUCCCUGUGCCUGGUAUAAGAUGAUCUUGCAGGGAAAACCAGGAAGG